UCCCUGGUGAUUCAGAUGUUAAAGAAUCUGCCUGCAACGCAGGAGACCCGAGUUCAAUUCCUGGAUAGGGAA
rnacentral:tRNA from 1 species